GUUAAGCGACUAAGCGUACACGGUGGAUGCCCUGGCAGUCAGAGGCGAUGAAGGACGUGCUAAUCUGCGAUAAGCGUCGGUAAGGUGAUAUGAACCGUUAUAACCGGCGAUUUCCGAAUGGGGAAACCCAGUGUGAUUCGUCACACUAUCAUUAACUGAAUCCAUAGGUUAAUGAGGCGAACCGGGGGAACUGAAACAUCUAAGUACCCCGAGGAAAAGAAAUCAACCGAGAUUCCCCCAGUAGCGGCGAGCGAACGGGGAGCAGCCCAGAGCCUGAAUCAGUGUGUGUGUUAGUGGAAGCGUCUGGAAAGGCGCGCGAUACAGGGUGACAGCCCCGUACACAAAAAUGCACAUGCUGUGAGCUCGAUGAGUAGGGCGGGACACGUGGUAUCCUGUCUGAAUAUGGGGGGACCAUCCUCCAAGGCUAAAUACUCCUGACUGACCGAUAGUGAACCAGUACCGUGAGGGAAAGGCGAAAAGAACCCCGGCGAGGGGAGUGAAAAAGAACCUGAAACCGUGUACGUACAAG
rnacentral:rRNA from 1 species